CUCGUAGGCGGCCAACCAAGUCAGACGUGAAAUCCCUCGGCUUAACCGGGGAACUGCGUCUGAUACUGGAUGGCUUGAGGUUGGGAGAGGGAUGCGGAAUUCCAGGUGUAGCGGUGAAAUGCGUAGAUAUCUGGAGGAACACCGGUGGCGAAGGCGGCAUCCUGGACCAAUUCUGACGCUGAGGAGCGAAAGCCAGGGGAGCAAACG
rnacentral:rRNA from 1 species